rnacentral:rRNA from 1 species
AUCUAACUACUAAGGGAGUAGGAUGGAUGCCUCGGCACCGGGAAGCGAUGAAGGACGUGGCAGGCUGCGAUAAGCCCCGGGGAGCCGCCUAGCAGGCUGUGAUCCGGGGAUCUCCGAAUGGGGUAACCUGGUGCGGGUAAUACCGCAUCACCUGCAUCUGAACACAUAGGGUGCAGGGGCGAACCGGGGGAAUUGAAACAUCUUAGUACCCCGAGGAAAAGAAAGCAACAGCGAUUCCCUGAGUAGCGGCGAGCGAAAGGGGAACAGCCCAAACCAGGUGGGUGUUAAAGCCCGCAGGCGUUGCCCAUCUGGGGUUGCAGGUCUGAUUCUUCCCGAGCUGCGGUGAGGGAGGAAAGUUUUUCUCUAUAGGGGAAAGGCACUGGAAAGGCCUGCCAGAGAGGGUAAUAGCCCCGUACCCGAAAUAGAGGAAAACUUUCCGCGGAUCAGACCUGAGUACCAUCGGACACGAGGAAUCCGGUGGGAAGCCGGGAGGAUCACCUCCCAAGGCUAAAUAUUCCCCGGUGACCGAUAGUGAACAAGUACCGUGAGGGAAAGGUGAAAAGAACCCCGAAAGGGGAGUGAAAUAGAGCCUGAAAUCCUACUCCUACAAGCUGUGGGAGCCCAUUCCCGGAAAUUAAUUUUUCGGGAAGGGUGACCGCGUACCUUUUGCAUAAUGGGCCGGUGAGUUACUUGGAGCAGCAAGGUUAAGGGGUAUUAAGCCCCGGAGCCGUAGCGAAAGCGAGUCCUAACCGGGCGUCAAGUUGCUCUAAGUAGACCCGAAACCGGGUGAUCUACCCGAGGCCAGGGUGAAGUGCACUUAACCGUGCAUGGAGGCCCGCACGCACCUACGUUGAAAAGUGGGGCGAUGAGCUUCGGGUAGGGGUGAAAGGCCAAUCAAACCCGGCGAUAGCUGGUUCUCCCCGAAAUAGCUUUAGGGCUAGCCUCGUGCAUGGAUGGUGGGGGUAGAGCACUGGAUGAGAUGAGGGUCCUCGUGGCUCUCAUACUCAACCAAACUCCGAAUACCACCAUUCCUGAGCACGGGAGUCAGACCGUGGGGGAUAAGCUCCAUGGUCGAGAGGGGAACAGCCCAGACCGCCAGCUAAGGUCUCUAAUGCAGGCUAAGUGGUAAAGGAUGUGGGGUCGCUGAGAUAGCCAGGAGGUUGGCUUAGAAGCAGCCAUCCUUUAAAGAGUGCGUAACAGCUCACUGGGUUA